rnacentral:rRNA from 1 species
CCCUUAGAUGUUCUGGGCCGCACGCGCGCUACACUGAUGCAUUCAACGAGCCUAUCCUUGACCGACAGGUCCGGGUAAUCUUUGAAUCUGCAUCGUGACGGGGAUAGAUUAUUGUAAUUAUUAAUCUUCAACGAGGAAUGCCUAGUAGGCGCAAGUCAUCAGCUUGCGUCGAUUACGUCCCUGCCCUUUGUACACACCGCCCGUCGCUCCUACCGAUUGGGUGUGCUGGUGAAAUGUUCGGAUCGGCCGUUUGUCGCGGUUUCCGCGUCAUGUGGCUGAGAAGUUCAUUAAACCCUCCCACCUAGAGGAAGGAGAAGUCGUAACA